CCUACGGGAGGCAGCAGUGAGGAAUAUUGGUCAAUGGACGAGAGUCUGAACCAGCCAAGUAGCGUGAAGGAUGACUGCCCUAUGGUUUGUAAACUUCUUUUAUAUGGGAAUAAAAUGUUCCACGUGUGGGAUUUUGUAUGUACCAUAUGAAUAAGGAUCGGCUAACUCCGUGCCAGCAGCCGCGGUAAUACGGAGGAUCCGAGCGUUUUCCGGAUUUAUUGGGUUUAACGGGAGCGUAGGUGGAUUGUUAAGUCAGUUGUGAAAGUUUGCGGCUCAACCGUAAAAUUGCAGUUGAAACUGGCAGUCGUGAGUACAGUAGAGGUGGGCGGAAUUCGUGGUGUAGCGGUGAAAUGCUUAGAUAUCACGAAGAACUCCGAUUGCGAAGGCAGCUCACUGGACUGCAACUGACACUGAGGCUCGAAAGUGUGGGUAUCAAACAGGAUUAGAUACCCUAGUAGUC
rnacentral:rRNA from 1 species